rnacentral:rRNA from 1 species
UAGGGAAUCUUCCACAAUGGACGCAAGUCUGAUGGAGCAACGCCGCGUGAGUGAAGAAGGUUUUCGGUUCGUAAAGCUCUGUUGUUGGUGAAGAAGGAUAGAGGCAGUAACUGGUCUUUAUUUGACGGUAAUCAACCAGAAAGUCACGGCUAACUACGUGCCCGCAGCCGCGGUAUUACGUAGGUGGCAAGCGUUUUCCGGACUUAUUGGGCGUAAAGCGAGCGCAGGCGGAAUGAUAAGUCUGAUGUGAGAGCCCACGGCUCAACCGUGGAACUGCAUCGGAAACUGUCAUUCUUGAGUGCAGAAGAGGAGAGUGGAAUUCCAUGUGUAGCGGUGGAAUGCGUAGAUAUAUGGAAGAACACAAGUGGCGAAGGCGGCUCUCUGGUCUGCAACUGACGCUGAGGCUCGAAAGCAUGGGUAGCGAACAGG